GAGCCAUGACUGCCCAGCCGAAGUAUCUCUUUAACUUUCCUGCCAGCUCUAACAUCCUAUAUGAGUCUGUGUUUAUAAUCCCUGCUUUCCAAGCUUGUAACCUUAGCCAGGCUAAAUCUCCCUGUUUGGGAGAGAGUUAUUCCAGGACUGAGACUUGGGGUGCCCAAUGCCGAGAGCCCAGCUAGAGAUGGGGGCCUUGAGACCCUGGGAAUCGUUGAAGCUUGGAGCCCGCUCCACCCGGGUGCUGCUCUCCAAGGUGCUGCUACCUUAGGCGCCGUCUCGUACUUGUCCUGCACAUUCACUUCCGAAGACCAGUGGCUUGGGAGGGUGGGCGGUUUAUUGUCCCCAUUAUCUCUCCAGCCCAUCCUCAUUGGUCAGUGUGGAUAAUUGACAUUUUUCUCAGCCUCAAGUAAAUCGCUAUGCAAACAGAGCUUCAAGCUCCCCUACUUUCCAACCAGAUCACCAGCCCUUGACCCUCCUCUCAAACUUCUGGAGCUGCCUCGCCAGUGACAGAGGGCCAGACUCCAUGGGCACCGGGACUUGGGAAGGGGAGAACAGGAGAGUUCUUUUCUUCACCUCAGUCCUGCUGGGCUAACAUUUGUGAUUGUCACUUGCGUUCACUCUAAUGUAUCUCUGGCUCUAGAAUUUCAAGUUCUACUUAGUGACUCCUAUCUCAAGGUAGCUUCCCAGUGUGGUCAAGGAAGAGGUUUGAGCUUCAGAGCCCAGUUGCAAGGUUCUUCUCUGAGCUGAACAAUGGCUGUAGCUGUGGACCAACAAAUUCAGACUCCUCGAGUGCAAGAAGAACUUCGAAUAGUGAAGCUGGAAGAGGAUUCCCACCGGGAGCAGGAAAUUUCCCUUCAAGGGAGUGACCCUGGACCAGAGACCUCCUGCCAGCGUUUUUGGCAUUUCUGCUAUCAAGAAACAUCUGGACCCCAGGAGGCCCUCAUCCAACUCCGGAAGCUCUGUCAUCAGUGGCUGAGACCAGAGAAGUGUACAAAAGAACAGAUCCUGGAGUUGCUCAUGCUGGAACAGUUCCUGACUGUCCUUCCUCAGGAGACCCAGAUCUGGGUUAGACAGAAGCAUCCAGAGAGUGGGGAGGAGGCCAUGGCUCUGGUGGAAGACUUGCAGAAAGAACCUGGAAGAUGGGGGCUCCAGGAGUAGGAGGUAUACUCAGAGGAGAAGGAACCCCCAGGAUCAGCACUGGGUUCCCUGAGGAUCCAUCUGAAGCAAGCACAGACAGGAUCCAUGUGUCUGUUACAGGCGAUGGUGAAGAACUCACAGCCAGAACCAGAACAGUUGAAUCACAGCCCCAAAGUAGAACUCCGAUCCUUCCACAAGAGCGUGCUGUCUGAUCCUCCGGCUCUGGAUCUUUCUGUGGAGGAGAGUGGUGGUGACCAGGGGAUGAUGAGCCCCUCCCAGGAGUUGAUGACAUUCGGUGAUGUGGCUAUGUAUAUCUCCCAGGAGGCAUGAAGGCAGCCAGAACCUGGGUGGAGGAACCACCUGGAAAGAAGUUGGGAGAAAUCCGCAAACGGGGCCCCGAUGGACUUGCCCCCCCACUGACCCAGUGUCAGCUCCUGCAGGGAGCAGGAGGAAACCCCACAGAGCCCAGAUCUUCAGUGCUCCAGAGAGGAGGAAAGCGCCAGGGACUCCGCAGCGGGUGGGGGAAGAGUCCAGCCUGGCCCCUUGCCCAUCCCAAGAAAAGCCAAGACCUGGGAGGAGCUGGAGUGGCAGGGCCUGGAGGAUGAGAAGGUGGCAGGUGUGCACCGGGACUAUGAGGAAACCAAGAUUUUUUUGGGAAUUCUCAGUGAGUCCUGGAUCCGUGAGAAAUUGCGCACCUGCCACCGGAACCGCCAGGUGUACCGGCUGGUGGCCAAGCGGCUACGCGAGCGCGGCUUCCCACGGACCCUGGAAUAGUGUCGCUACUGCUUCAAAAACCUCCAGACCCACUACCGCAAAGCCAGGAGCAGCCAGGCGCCGGGCACCUGCCCCUUCUACCAGGAGAUGGACACCCUGAUGAGCCCCUGGACCCUUGCCGGCACCUUUGACGCCUUAGAGGUGGCAGGAGGCCUUCUGCGGGACAGAGGGGACUCCGAAGAGAACCAGAGGCCGGCUGGCAGCCGUGACAGGAGAUGGUAGUGAACUGGCGGCCAAGCCCCAAGGGGAGCCCGGGAGCCUUGCUCCCCCGGCUUUCAGGGGGAGUUCCAGUGAUCUUGAAACAAGGACACAGGACAAGGAGAAUUCAAGCCAGGACAUGUCAGAGGAAGCAGAGCUCCAGGGGGCGCUAUUAGAGAGACCCAAAGCGGAUCCUUCCCUGGCCAGGACAGACUGGGAAGACAAACAUGGGGCGGAGAGGCAGUGGGAAGUACCCUUAGAAGAUGGACAAGAGGCACGCUCCCCUCCAGAAGGAGACGUAGGUAAAUUCAUAGGCCCUCAGGGAACCUACAUAGGAGGAAAGUCCUAUCUCUGCUGUGCGUGUGGAAAACAACAUGGCAACCAGGGCUCACGCUUUGCUGUGCACAGAUUAGCCCACACUGGGGAAAAGACACCUUCUAAGUGUGGCCGUUGUGGGAGAAGCUUUGGCCGAAGUUCACAUCUGGUUUGCCACCAGAGAAUCCCCACCGAGGAGAAGCCCUACAAAUGCCCUGAAUAUGGGAAGGGCUUCAGUGAUCCUUCUAACCUCACAUCACAUCAGAGAGUCCACGCUGGAGAGGAGCCCUAUAAAUGUGGGGAGUGCUGGAAAAGCUUCAGCCAGAGCUCCAGCCUUACUAUGCACCAGAGAGUCCACACAGGGGAGAAACCCCAUAAGUGCAGCGAGUGUGGGAAGAGGUUUACCAAUAGCUUGUGCUUCAGUGCACACUGGCAAACACACGCAGGCGAAAAACCCUACCAGUGCCCUGAGUGCAGGAAAAGGUUCAGCAAGAGUUCCACGCUCACCAGCCAUCGGAGGAUCCACACAGGAGAGAAACCCUAUGCAUGUCUCAAGUGCGGGAAAAGUUUCAGCGACUGCUCAAACCUCAUUACCCACCGGCGAAUUCACAGUGGAGAGAGACCCUAUGAAUGCGGGGAGUGUGGGAAAAGCUUCAGUCAGAGCUCCAGUCUCAUCAUCCACCGGAGAAUCCACACCGGAGAGAAACCCUACGAGUGUGCUGAAUGUGGGAGGCGAUUCAACAACAGCUCACAUUUUAGUGCGCAUUGGAGGACCCAUGUGACAGAGGCUCGAAGUGUAGUAGGAAUGUCUUUAAAGCACCAAGUCUAAGAACACCGCAGAAUCCGUUCCAAAAACUGUUUGUACGGUCCUUGAUUCUAUACCAUGACACCCACAUGAGAUGGAGAGAAAGAAUUUAGACCCAGUCCAAUAGAUGUUAUUUUUGUUUCUCUCUCUAAACACUCACUUGGCUAAUGAAAUACUCCUCAGGGCUUUUUUCUCCACGCUGUUGAAAUGGGAGCUCCUGUGGAGAGAAUUCAGAGACUAGUUCUGAAUUUGACUGGAUCUCCAUCACAGUACGUCUCCAUGAUGAUCCUGUGCCUUAAUUUCCACAGCUCGGUAUGAUGAGGGGGACAGUCCCGUCCCCAAGACCCUCCUCUGGGGACAGAAGUUUCCGCCUUGUGGCGCUGGGCAACUAGACAGGGAUUUAUGAAUUACAUACAGUUUUAAAGGUCUUUCAUGGUCCUCCCUAUGGGAAGAUUGGGGCCUGGGAAUUGCGGACAUUUCUCCACGUUCCUUAAGAUUUACAUGGAGUUACUGGAGAGAAAAGCACUCGAUCGUGUCAUUUGGAGGAGGGAAGAGGAGAAAAGACCAACGCUGGAGGCUGGCUUUCUAAACCAUAACCUACUCUUCCUCUCAACAUACUAGGUUGAACCAUAUGAGAUAGCCAUUUUGAGCUCCCAAACCAGCAAUUUCAUGAUUCAACCUAAACAGACUUUUUGCAGAAUAGAAUUACCCCAGAUUGCCAGCAGAGCUGCUUACACAGCUUUACAGCUCCCACUGUGUCCUAAAAUAUAAGCCUGGGUCUAGGAGAUCACAAACAGGAUAACAUAAGCCUUGUCUCUAAUCUGUAAAUAUGUCCAGAGCAAUAACUACGAACCACGGCAUCGAUCAAGGCUCCCAGUUGGAGGAUCUGCCUGUCACCGGCCUCUGACGAGCUCCCUCGUUCCUACGGGGGAGGCCAUGUGCAGGUUCACAGGUUUUUGAAGAUUUGGGGUGUCUCUGCGAGAGCAGAGCACAGUUCCUGGGGGCACUCUGACACAGCAAAUGGUGCUUGGAAAUAAGUGGAAUACACUUUUUCCCUCUUAAAAUAGUUUCCUUUGGGGCACCUGGGUGGCUGGCUCCAUUGGUUAAGUGUCCGGCUCUUGAUGUCAGCUCAGGUCUCAAUCUCACGCUUGUGAGUUCAAGCGGGAUAAAUCAACGGGAUUUAAAAAAAAAAAAAAAGUUUCCUUUGUGCAUUUGACUUGAAAAUAUUUCCCCAGAACUUCCCAGAAACCCACCAAUUAUAAAACAAAGCACUGUCGACACAUGACAAUUUCAUUUAAUUAGAUUUAUAAAUAUGAUUAUGUAAUGAGUUUUUUUAAUGAACACCAAAGAACUUAUUCAAAUAAGUGUUAUCUAUCAAAAGCAGUCAUUCUGAUGGGCUGUGGGCUUUAUAUGUUGUUACCAUUACUGAAGACAUUGAAUUUUCCUGUAAGAAUUGUCUUCCAACCACCCUAGAAGGCCCCCUAUCAGCGUAUUUCUGGCACGGAGCAGUGUCCUGCACAUAAGCAAGGCUUAAUAAACACUGACAGACGAGCUUGUUUGUCAUCUAGCCUGAUCGAUCACUUCUCUUAUCCAUGAGACUUGGCUCUGCCCAAUAUCUGCUCUCUGAAAACAGAUUCCCUUCUAAGGAUGUCAAUUUGCUGCCAUUGAGGAGACUUCAAAGAGCCUAUUUUGGGGGGAUAGUUUUCAAAAAGCUAUCCCAGAAAUUUGAGUUCAGGAUUUUUUUUUGUAAGGCCAGGAAAUAAAUCUGAUAUGUAUUAUUUUAAAUCAUUUCACUCUUCUGAAUGAGAACGGCUCUACUUGGGUGGAAAUUCAUCAUACUAAAACCAGUGUGGCUAUGCAUUAUAAAAAGACUUUGGAAAUAACCAGAUUCCCUUUUGGAAACUUUUGCCAUCAUCCUUUUUUGGAAUGGAACAAGGAGAUUCAAAUAGAAUAUCCAUACAAUUUUCUCUCAUGUGUAUUUUCCCCUUAGCAAAGUAACGGGAAGACUGAGCUGGAGACUGUAGAUCUUUCUUCCGGAUUUUACAAUCCCUGAAGCAAUAGGAUCUGCAAGACCACGGCUCUCGGUGGUGCCUGCAGUUAGUUCUCAAGGGAAGACUAGAGCAGGGAGUUAGCAUGAGCUGACUCACAUGGAGAGGCUUCCCGGGGAACCAAACGCAGUAUGUACUCCUUGCAAGGUCUGGACUUUGAUUUGAAACUAGUCAUUUGUUACCUUGCUCAAGAGUGUUUUGAUUUACCUUUUUGUCCGCCACGGUACUCGGCAUGGGCAAAGCUCUGGGGGCUUUUAUUUUUAGCUCAACUCAGACUCACAAUCACGGCUUCAAAGUUUCUGAACCAGGCAAGCAGUGUGGCUUUUGGAAGCUGCCUCCUUGGAAAUCCCUCAAGAUGAAAACAAUAAUGAAAGUUCUAAGUGGGAAUGCCUGAAAUUCACUUUUUUUUUUUUUUUUUUUUUUAAGAUUUCUUUGUCAGAGAGAGUGAGAGAGAGAGAGAAGCGAGUGCACAAGCAGGGGGAGUGGCAGGCGGAGGGAGAAGCAGGCUCCCUGCCAAGCGGGGAGCCCGAUGCGGGGCUCGAUCCCAGGACCCCGGGAUCAUGACCUGAGUUGAAGGCAGAUGCUUAACCGACUGAGCCACCCAGGCGCCCCAAAAUUCUAACAGUUGCAGUAGAUGACACACAGUCAAUCCAAUUAUGCGUUGCAACAUUUUAACUGAAUUUUAACUGAAGCUCAUAGCAAAAAUACUGGCCCAUAUUUUCAUUUACAGAUAGCUAGAAACAGGAGGUGGGUUUCAGAAGCUAAUCCUGCUAGCGGAAGCUGGAAGCUGAUGCAAGUAUGUUCACCCAAUAAAUAAAUGAAUUCCAAGCGCAUCCUGUGAGUGGAAUGAUCAAAGGGAAACCCUAAACUCAUCAGCAGGCACUCCCCAGUCCCCACAGACCUCAUCCUCUGGCCACCACUCCUCUCCCUUCUGCCUCUCGGGACAGGCCUGUUCUGAAUGUUUCCCGGAAAUGGAGUCCUACAGCGAGUGGCCUUUUGUGAUUGGCUCCUUCCCCUCAGCGUCCUGUCUGCAGGCUCAUCCACAUGGUGCCAGGAGUCCAGGCUGCAGUCCUCCUUCCGGCCUGUGAUACCCCAGCACACGACACACCACACUGUCAGCGCCUUCAUCAGCUGGAGGACAUCAUCAGCUGGCUUGUUCCCUCUGUGCUUAUUGUGGGUCACGUUGCCAUGAAUGUUCGUGUACACCUUUUGACAAGUUUUGUGUGGACACAUGUUUUCAGUUCUGGUGGAUAAAUACCGAGGCGUGGAAUUGCUGGGCCAUAGAGUAACUCAAGGUUUAACCUUUUGAGGAAGGGCCAGCCUUCUUUUCCAAAGAGGCCGCACCAUUUGACAUUCCACCAGCGGUGUACAAGGGUUCAGAUUUCUCCACGUCCUCCCCCCCAAAUUGGGUAUAGUCUUAUUUUUUUUAAAGUCAUCUCUACACCCAGCGUGGGGCUUGAACUCACAGCCCCAAGAUCAAGAGUCGCAUGCCAGGCGCCCCUAGUCUGUCUUUUUGGUUCUAGCCAUCCUGGAGGGCGUGAAGUGAUGAAGCCAGGUUCCGAAUGUACUGCGGACUCCUGCAUGGUGCAGGAUGGCAGGUGUCGGUGUGGGAUGAGGGGCCCCUGCCCCACCCACUCUGAGCCGGGAGAGGCCCCCCCAGCCCCCCACAAGUGCGCAGGUGCCCCAGUGUGUGCGCCCGUGGGCUCCGGCCACACUCCCCACCAACGGCCACUCUGGCCACCUCUCGGGCCCAGUGUGCACAUGCCAGCUGCAUAGCCAGCCCUCGAGAGGACGGAAUGGAAGAGGGUGUGCAGGCCCUGGACGCAGACUCUGGCCAUUCGGACAGGACGUUCUGGGUCCUGGGUGCCAGGAAGAUGGUCUGGCGGAGGGAUGUAGGCUCUGUGGGCCCACAGCCGAGGCCCGUGGCCUUCUCACCCCUGGAGAAGGGUAUGGCUAGAGGAGGGCUGGAUGGGGCUGGGCCCCCUAGAGCACCAGGCCCUGGCAUCCACUUUUUAAAAAGUGUGAUAAAACAUCCACAACAUAAAAGUUGCCAUUUUACCAUG